UUCAUCCUGACACCUCUCAGAAUCAGCUGAGGGCAUUGUUUCUCUUGUUUCUAAACUAAAUAAUUUCAAACACCAUAGGCUGCGACCAUAGAUUUUGUUCAUGUGCUAAGCCUAUUAAAAUCUACCGUUCUUUGUAGUUAACUGUGAAUAAUGACCAGAAAGUGCAUCGUUCCCAAAUGUAGCUCGACACACAAAACCAAAGGUAUGAGAUUUUUUCGAUUCCCGACCGUGAAACAAGGGAUGGAGGACUUAUCGCGGUGGAGGCUUCACGAAUGGAAGCGAAUUUUCGGGUUCCGAGAAUGCUUCAAUCCGAAGGAUAAAUACAUCUGUAGUCUUCACUUUAUAUCUGGAAAAGCUGCUAAAAUGUCUGACGUGGGAGACGUAGAUUGGAUUCCUCGGUUAAACAUCACAUGCAUUGAAUCCGAUGACCCGUUUGAUUAUUCAGACUUUGUUAUCGAAGAAGGGAGUGUAGCAAAUAAUGCAACAACAACUAAUACAUAAUAAUCAAUUUGAAAUAAAUAAAACGGCUGGUCAAAUAUUUGUAACAACGAGGUGUAGGCUCGGCCAUUGUAAAUAAUAUUAAUUGGAUUAAGUCUUAUAUUUCUAUCUAUUCCACAAACACAUUUCAGAAUUCUAAGGCGUCUACAUAAUAAGACUAUUCCACUAACUCUCAAUCCUUAUUAAAUUUAGAUGCAUGAUUAGCUGAUUCGAUUAUUCUAAAAAUUCGUGUCUGACGUGGGAGACGUAGAUUGGAUUCCUCGGUUAAACAUCACAUGCAUUGAAUCCGAUGACCCGUUUGAUUAUUCAGACUUUGUUAUCGAAAAAGGCAGUGUAGCAAAUAAUGCAACAACAACUAAUACAUAAUAAUCAAUUUGAAAUAAAUAAAACGGCUGGUCAAAUAUUUGUAACAACGAGGUGUAGGCUCGGCCAUUGUAAAUAAUAUUAAUUGGAUUAAGUCUUAUAUUUCUAUCUAUUCCACAAACACAUUUCAGAAUUCUAAGGCGUCUACAUAAUAAGACUAUUCCACUAACUCUCAAUCCUUAUUAAAUUUAGAUGCAUGAUUAGCUGAUUCGAUUAUUCUAAAAAUUCGUGUUUUCAGGAGAAUUAAUUUUUAGAUUAUCAAAUCCAAAUUUUACAUAAAAAUUAGUUUUUUUAUUAAAAUUUUAUGUGGACAUUCUUAAAAGCGAAUGAAAUGAUUGAAAAAUAAAUUUAGGUUCUUAUGGAUAUAUAAAAAUAAAAUUGUAAAGGAGUGAAACCUGACAUCGAAUAUAUGAACCAGCCUCGGGCUGAAAAUCUCUCCAAUAAAGAAAAAUAAGGGUUGUGUAUACAAGACAUGACCGCCCGACGUAAACUAUAUGUAAAACAGUUUGGUGGAUUCAGAGUGUAUGUAAUUAAGAGUGGUCAGAAUUGGAACAAAAUUCAUCUGUCAUUCCCAUACAAGAUCGUGUUCCAAACGAGCACAUAUCGCCACUCUCAAUUAAUACACUCUGGGUGUAUUGAGGAGUGUAGUGCCAU